GGUUGGGUUGAUAACCUAAAUGGACUUACUGGGCUCGUUAUUGCAUCUGGGAAAGGAUUUCUUCGGGCCAUAAGAACUACUCCGAUGGCUGUGGCAGAUUUAAUUCCAGUUGAUACAAUCGUCAACCUCACCUUGGCUGUAGGAUGGUACUUGGCAGUUUGCAGACCUAAGUCAACGUUAAUCUACCACUGUACAUCUUGUAACCUCAAUCCCUGUAAUUGGGGCAA